CUCGCAAGAGUGAACUAGCUAACUGAAAUCAAUCUACAUAUAAAUAUUGAUUGAUAACGUAAGGGAAAAUUAUGAUAUUACCUUACUAUUAGUGUCGUCCAAAUCUGGUGCCAGAAGACUCGGUAAGGCCAGAGACGCAAACGUUAAUCGUCUUAAACAGGCGUAAAGGGUUUGUAGGCAGCUUUGAAUUUUCUCUUUUCCAAGUAAUUAGAUAAUUAAUCAAAGCUAGAAUCAAAUAGAGGUUAUAUUAUAUAAUGCUUAAAGUAGGUCUAAUAUCCUAACAGAUUAAGUGGAAUAUUAAAAGCGAAGGCUUAUUUACCAUAAAUGAUUGACGCUGAGAAACGAAGGUGAGGAUAGGAAAUAGGAUUAGAUACCCAAAAUACCCCUCUCUGUCAACGAUGAAUGGUGGUUGCUAAUUAUAAAAUUAGUAGCUAUGUUAACACGAUAACCAUUCCGCCUUGUGAGUACGACUGCAAAGUUGAAAACAAAAAAAUUAGUCGGUUUCGGAGCAAACGAAGUGAAGCAU
rnacentral:rRNA from 1 species